AUUUAGAGGACCUUGUGCAUUUCAGGAUGUCAGGUAGAGCAGUCAGGCCAGACGAGGGUCUGAUGAUGAUGCAGGAGCUUGAAGACCGUCUGAAGGAGCAGAUUGAUAAACUAGAGCACGUCCGCCUCUCUGCUACUGAGCUCAAAGACAACCUUUCUGGGAUCAAUGGUGAUCUGAACCAAUCUAUUGCUGACCAUCUGGACUGGCUGGGUCAGCUGUCAGAGCGAGUGGAGACCCUUCAGAUGAACACAUCCGUCUUUGUUCAGAUGAACCCGAAGCCUCGUACCUGGGGAGUGAAGCAGGGCUCCAGGCGCGCUCCACGCUGGGGCCGACUCCACAGUCUGGCUGAUGAUGCCCAGUCUGAGUAUGGCUGGUCCCCUAUCCGCACGCGACGCAACAGCGACGCUGCCUCCGAGAUGUCCUGUGCCUGGUGACCUGGUAGCUCAGAUGGAUCAGUUGGUUGGACUUGGAUCAGGGUGCUGGCAAUACCAGGGUUGUGUGUUUGAAUUGCGUGGGACACGUACUACACUGACUGUGUUAACUGCAAGUUGCUUUGGAUAAAUUAGUCUGCUAAAUGACCAUACUAAAAGACAUGAUUACAACAAACUAACUAAGCUGCAGACAAACAUACAUUUUAUAUUAUUUCAAUGCCACAAUAUUAGUCGCUAUCCACUCACAUUGCUGUAAUUGUAUCGAAUAGUUGAACAUUUCACUGCAGUGUAUUAUUUGAGAAAUUGACUUGUAUUAUGCAAUAUAGUUAUUGUUUGUAUUUUGUGUUCUUCUGUGGUGCUUUUCUGUCUCUUGUAAAAUGUUUGUUGAUAUUACUCAAUGUUGCUAUUAUUCAAAGUUAUUUGAUUUUGUUUUGGUCUUCUCAUUGUUGUGAUCUUGUGCAGCUGCCAGCUAUAACCAAUGAUGAAGCCACAACGCCUCCAUCUUGGCACUCUCCCUAGCAUUGUACAUUUCUUUUUAGUGGAAGCUAUAGAAAUGCAUUUAUUAAUGUCUACAUUCAUUUUUGCCACAUUUAUUCUAUUACAGACACAUGAAUGCAUACUUUAAAAUUAGAUUAUGUGAGCUAAUCAUUUAAAACAAAUAUUUUAACAUUUUCCCAAUAGCUAAUAGUAUAAUUUUUUUUAGCUUACUAAUGAUACUGUCCCUACUACAACAACAAAAAUACUUAUACCGAACCAAAAUAUAAACGCAACAUGCAACAAUUUCAAAACAUGUAGAUCAUAUAAGGAAAUCAGUCAAUAUAAAUAAAUAAAUAAUUUGGGCCCUAAUCUAUGUAUUUCACGACUGGGAAUACAAAUAUGCAUCUGUUGGUCGCAGAUACCUUUAAAAAAAAACUAAAGGAAAGGAUCAGAUAAUCAGUAGACCAGAUAAUCAGUUUGUAUCUGGUGUGACCACCAUUUGUCUCAUGCAACGUGACACAUCUCUUUUGCAUAGAGUUGAUCAGGCUGUUGAUUAUGGCCUGUGUAAUGUUGUCCCACUCUUCAAUGGCUGUGCGAAGUUGCUGGAUAUUGGCAGGAACUAGAACACGCUGUCGUAUACAUCGAUCCAUAGCAUUCCAAACAUGGGCAAUGGGUGACAUGUCUGGGUAGUAUGCAGGCCAUGGAAGAACUAGGACAUUUCCAGCCUCCAGUGAUGUAAAGUACCA
ensembl:lncRNA